UUACUGUUGUGUUGCCCUGCAGACCUAUAUGAUUGAUUAAUUUUAAAUUAAAAGUAAAUUAAAAAAUAUUGACCUUUGGGUACUCAAAAGGCACUUUAAAGAAAAAAUGAAUAAGAAGAACUAAAGUUUUAGAAAUAAAAUCAUAUAUUUAAUAAUUUGGGUUUUAGAAUUUGUGAGAGAAGAUUUUUCUUGAAUAUUCUUUUUUUUCUCCAGGGAAAAUAUAUUACUAAAUUUUAUCCAAAUCUAUCUGGAUGUGUACAUCUUCAUAGGAAUACAUUGGACUCCAUGGGUGCUACAGAAAUGAAAUGUGCUUUGCAGUGUCUGUGCUGAGAGUUCAAGAUGUAUUUUUUGAUAUCAUUAUCAGUCUAGAGAGUGGUGAGUCCUGAGGUAAAGUCUGGGCUAGUCUUCACUUCCCCACAUGAUCUCCAUGACUUAUACCACUGACUUCAAAUUCUUUGAUGUAAAACAAAUAGAUUUUCAGUCUUCUGUAAAGGGUCACCAAGAUGUCGAUUCAAGAAAAGUCUCUAUAGGCUGCCCAACACAAAAACCAGGCAAUCACUGUAAGCCCCUCUUAUUUACUAAACCUAUUUCUGCCACUGACUACUGGAAGUGGCUAUGUCUUAGUUAUUUCUAAGAACAAUAUGUACAGUUUGUCCUUCAGAAAUGCUUUGCGAUUAGAUAAUUACUGCACUCAAAGAGACAUCUUACAGCUUUUAAUAGGACAUUUUGUCUUUUCUGGGAGCAAAGGAGUUGUGAAUGGGUAUGAAAAUAGUAUUUGUUCAGUAAUAUGUUUUUGCUAGAGCACAGUUUUGGUGGCUGCAAUCAGUGGAGCGAUCCCUUCUAAAUCUUGAUGUGAUAUUACUGGAACUUAGUGAAAUAGAAGAGAUCACUCCUUUGUUCUGAUUUUUACAGGAAAAUGCGUGGCUGGAAGCUUUGUAACCGCUUUUUUCUCUCUGGAGGAUUGAUAGUUCAGUCCUUUCAGAUGUGGAUCAGACAUAUAUACUCUAUGGAGUGUGAAGUGGGAAGAAGGAAAGACAAUAGGAAAAAUGAUCUUCAAUGACAUUAGCAAUCAGCACAAUUUACAAGAGUUAAAGUUACCAUAGGAACACAGAGAAGAUGAAAGUUUACUGCCAGAAUUAAUGCCCCCAACUUUGCUAUGAAGACCAAGGCACUGUGGAAUUGUGUGUCUACGUUUGGAAAGUCAGCUUGUGCCUAAAUGGAUUUUGAAGAUAUCAGGCAUUCUAGGAUUGAGAAUGAGAAUUCCUUUUGUUACAACAGGCAAGAUUGCCUGGUGAUUUAUUUCAAGUUGAGCAUUCAGAGUUUGAAGGUGAACUCAUUAGCCAAGUAAGUGCA